rnacentral:tRNA from 1 species
CGGGAUGUGGCGCAGCUUGGCUAGCGUACAUGCAUGGGGUGCAUGGGGCCGGAAGUUCGAAUCUUCUCAUCCCGA